rnacentral:tRNA from 1 species
GUGGGGAUAGCUCAAUUGGACAGAGCGGCGGAUUGCUAAUCCGCAGGUUGCGGGAUCGUCCCCCGCUCCCCACA